rnacentral:rRNA from 1 species
GACGAACGCUGGCGGCGUGCUUAACACAUGCAAGUCGAACGGAAAGGCCCUGCUUUUGUGGGGUGCUCGAGUGGCGAACGGGUGAGUAACACGUGAGUAACCUGCCCUUGACUUUGGGAUAACUUCAGGAAACUGGGGCUAAUACCGGAUAGGAGCUCCUGCUGCAUGGUGGGGGUUGGAAAGUUUCGGCGUUUGGGGAUGGACUCGCGGCUUAUCAGCUUGUUGGUGGGGUAGUGGCUUACCAAGGCUUUGACGGGUAGCCGGCCUGAGAGGGUGACCGGCCACAUUGGGACUGGGAUACGGCCCAGACGCAUACGGGAGGCAGCAGUGGGGAAUAGAGGACAAUGGGCGGAAGCAUGAUGCAGCAACGCCGCGUGCGGGAUGACGGCCUUCGGGUUGUAAACAGCUUUCGCGUGUGACGAAGCGUGAGUGAGGGUAAUGGGUAGAGAAGCACCGGCUAAUUACGU